rnacentral:rRNA from 1 species
UCGAGAAUUUUUCUCAAUGGGGGAAACCCUGAAGGAGCGACGCCGCGUGGAGGAUGAAGGUCUUCGGAUUGUAAACUCCUGUCAUUGGCGAACAAGGUCAUGCGAUUAACUGUCGUGUGGAUUGAUAGUAGCCGAAGAGGAAGAGACGGCUAACUCUGUGCCAGCAGCCGCGGUAAUACAGAGGUCUCGAGCGUUGUUCGGAUUCAUUGGGCGUAAAGGGUGCGUAGGCGGCGGUGUAAGUCGGAUGUGAAAUCUCGGGGCUCAACCCUGAAAUUGCAUUCGAUACUGCACUGCUUGAGUACUGGAGAGGAGAUUGGAAUUUACGGUGUAGCAGUGAAAUGCGUAGAUAUCGUAAGGAAGACCAGUGGCGAAGGCGAAUCUCUGGACAGUUACUGACGCUGAGGCACGAAGGCUAGGGGAGCAAACGGG